CAGCCCCGUCCCCCCAGCCCCAGCCCCGCCCCGCCGCUCCAGGCCCCCGCCUCCCCGCCCCAGCCCCCCUCGGCCCCACCCCCAGCCCCGCCUCGCACCGACCUCUGCGAGCAGCCCGCGUCUCACUGAGUCAUCCUUGAGUCCGCGCCCCUGACAACAAUCCUCGCCGUGCCCCGGCUGGACUUAGGGAUUUAGGACGCCGCGGGGGCGGGGGGAAGAAAGAGGAGGGAGGGAAGGAAGGCAGUACCGAAAGCACCGGAGAGGAAGAGAGGCGGAAGGGCGGCACUGACGGGAAGAACGGGAGGGCAAAUGCCACAGCCAGCGUUUGUAACCUAUGGCUUGCAGGCCAAACCUGGGAUCUGGUGAAGUCGAAGCCAGGUGAGGCUCAGGACUGAACUGCGAUAUCAUGGAGCCUGGGCCGUCCUGUGGAGGGGCAGGACAGGUGGGUCAGCUGUUUCUUCAGCCGAGGCAGGUGAAACCAGGAGGGGUGAGCUAGCACUUUGCCUGUAGUGGAGGUGGUGUGAAGGAGCUAGAAGGGCCCUUUCCCCUAUUGUCAUAAGUCUGACAGGUUGAGGUCUUUGAAAAGGACCCAGUCUCCUGGGGCUAGGAAAAGUGGGAGGAAGUGUCUUCCGAUCUAGGAAGAAUGUGAUCUGCACGUUCCCUAAAGAUCUGCCAAAUGAGGCUAAGGGCUGGGAGGUAGGCUCUCACUGGUGAGUUGUUAGGAGGGAGGUUGUCUAGGAGGAAGGGUCUGCCAUACAUGAGCUUGAAAGGACUGAGGAAGGUGGGGGCCUGAGGGGUGGUAUGGAUUUAAUAAAGGAGAUACGGUUGGCUGUGAUGGCCCUGUGUGUGGGGGUAAGUUGGACACCCAAGUAGAUAACUAAUGAGGUAGAGAGUUGUGCCUUGUGUGGGGACACCCGGUAGCCCUUGCUACCAAGGAAGAAGGGUAGCGGUAUAUUCCAGUAGAGAGUGAGUGAGACAGACUGCACAAAAGGAGAUCAUCCACCUAUUGUAGGGGUGUUUUCGGAGCGAGGUCGAGAGAACCUAGGGCCUGGCCGAGGAAAUGGGGGCUGUCCCUGAACUCCUGGGAAGGACUGUCUAUGUUAGUUGUCUGGAAUGUAGGGUGUUAGGAUUAGUCCAGGUAAAGGUGAAGAGGUCUUGGGAGUGAGGAUGUAAGGGAAUGGUAAAGAAGGCGUCUUUGAGGUCCUUGACAGUGAAGUGAGUGGUAUCAGGGGGGAUGAGAAAGAAGGCU
rnacentral:lncRNA from 1 species